UACAGAGGUCCCAAGCGUUGUUCGGAUUCACUGGGCGUAAAGGGUGCGUAGGUGGCGUGGAAAGUUUGAUGUGAAAGCUCAGGGCUUAACCCUGAAAUGGCAUUGAAUACUACCGUGCUGGAGGUUUGGAGGGGGGACUGGAAUUCUUGGUGUAGCAGUGAAAUGCGUAGAUAUCAAGAGGAACACCAGUGGCGAAGGCGAGUCUCUGGACGGUGACUGACGCUGAGACGCGAAAGCGUGGGGAGCAAACAGG
rnacentral:rRNA from 1 species